rnacentral:rRNA from 1 species
UUGACGGGACCGCACAAGCGGUGGAUGAUGUGGUUUAAUUCGAUAGCAACGCGAAAACCUUACCACCUUUGACAUGUACGGAAUCCUUUAGAGAUAGAGGAGUGCUCGAAAGAGAACCGUAACACAGGUGCUGCAUGGCUGUCGUCAGCUCGUGUCGUGAGAUGUUGGGUUAAGUCCCGCAACGAGCGCAACCCUUGUCAUUAGUUGCUACAUUCAGUUGGGCACUCUAAUGAGACUGCCGGUGACAAACCGGAGGAAGGUGGGGAUGACGUCAAGUCCUCAUGGCCCUUAUGGGUAGGGCUUCACACGUCAUACAAUGGUCGGUACAGAGGGUUGCCAACCCGCGAGGGGGAGCUAAUCCCACAAAGCCGAUCGUAGUCCGGAUCGCAGUCUGCAACUCGACUGCGUGAAGUCGGAAUCGCUAGUAAUCGUGGAUCAGCAUGUCACGGUGAAUACGUUCCCGGGUCUU